GUACGUUUGUGUGUGAAUAGUGUUCAGCACCAAGGACAGGUACGUUUGUGUGUGAAUAGUGUUCAGCACCAAGGACAGGUACGUUUGUGU
rfam:Branchiostoma floridae genomic scaffold BRAFLscaffold_267, whole genome shotgun sequence.